AUAAUUGAGAAAGGAGUCAUUUUACAAAUGAGAGAGAGCGCAGAUAAAAGACUGUUGAUUCAGAGUGCAAAUAUUUUAAAAGAGAGUAAUAUAGAGUAUGAAGAAAGAGUUUUAAGUUCUUUUCCAGUCGAAUCCGGGGGAAGAAACAUCUUUUUGUACUUUUAUUUCGAGGAACUCCGAUCGUGGACGAGUGAACGGCGAGCCUACAGUGCCUAGUUGAUGUCGCAACGCAUCUUUCUUUGCAGCACGUUUGGCAUCCUUAUUCUGUCAUCAAUCCCUGGAUACAGAUAAGAGAAUACAACACACCAUACACUUCGGAUACCUUGAGUGAAACUGAGUUUAAAACUACCCGGUGCAAAGAAAUGCAAGUACUGCCAGUGCAUCAGAUGGAGAGAUUGAAUAGUUCAUCAAAAGACUUCAGACAGAGAUGGGAGAACCAAAGAGUGGGCCCAAAAGCAAACUAAUUAUACCUAAGGUAUGUUCCAAAUGUUAACAUUUACCAGAGUUAACGUUCAUGUUAUCAUAUUUCUGAGAUCUAUCUGACUAACCAUAUGUGUCAUUGUCUGUUCCCCUUUUUAUUCUCUUUCUGUCAAUAUGUUCCUCUUUUAGGGUACGCUUACUUGAGGAGGCUCCUGGGGUUUUCUUGUUUGUUUUUCAUUAUUUUUUUUUUAUUUUUUUUGUUUCAAAUAUGUUUCAAAUAAAUUCUCAUACUCAUA